CAGUUAGAAAAAUGGGCAAAAGACAGGAGAAAACAUUUCACCAAAGAGGAUACGAAUGGCAAAUAAGCACAAGAAGAGAUGUCCGAGAGACUGAUAAGAACAUAAUGGGCUCCUAGGGAAAUGCAAAUUAAAACAACAACAACACAGCGUUGCACAUCUAUCCACGUGGCUGAAAAUAACAGGGUGAUGCGGCCGCACGUUGGUGAGGACAGGGACAGCAGAUCACUCACGCCAGGAUGUAAGAUGGCACAGCCGCCCGGAAAACAGGUUGGAGAUCACUCACGCGGGGCUGGUGGGAUGUAAGAUGGCACAGCCGCCCGGAAAACAGGUUGGAGAUCACUCACGCCGGGCUGGUGGGAUGUAAGAUGGCACAGCCGCCCGGAAAACAGGUUGGAGAUCACUCACGCCGGGCUGGUGGGAUGUAAGAUGGCACAGCCGCCCGGAAAACAGGUUGGAGAUCACUCACGCGGGGCUGGUGGGAUGUAAGAUGGCACAGCUGCCCGGAAAACAGGUUGGAGAUCACUCAAACAGGUUGGAGAUCACUCACGCUGGGCUGAUGGGAUGUAUGAUGGCACAGCCACCCGGAAAACAGGUCGGAGAUCACUCACGCGGGGCCGGUGCGAUGUAAGAUGGCACAGCCGCCCGGAAAACAGGUUGGAGAUCACUCACGCCGGGCUGGUGGGAUGUAAGAUGGCACAGCCGCCCGGAAAACAGGUUGGAGAUCACUCACGCGGGGCUGGUGGGAUGUAAGAUGGCACAGCUGCCCGGAAAACAGGUUGGAGAUCACUCAAACAGGUUGGAGAUCACUCACGCCGGGCUGAUGGGAUGUAUGAUGGCACAGCCACCUGGAAAACAGGUCGGAGAUCACUCACGCGGGGCCGGUGCGAUGUAAGAUGGCACAGCCGCCCGGAAAACAGGUUGGAGAUCACUCACGCCGGGCUGGUGGGAUGUAUGAUGGCACAGCCGCCCGGAAAACAGGUUGGAGGUCACUCACGCCGGGCUGGUGGGAUGUACGAUGGUACAGCCGCCCGGAAAACAGGUUGGAGAUCACUCACGCCGGGCUGGUGGGAUGUAAGAUGGCACAGCCACCCGGAAAACAGGUUGGAGAUCACUCACGCGGGGCUAGUGGGAUGUAAGAUGGCACAGCCGCCCGGAAAACAGGUUGGAGAUCACUCAAACAGGUUGGAGGUCACUCACGCCGGGCUGGUGGGAUGUAAGAUGGCACAGCCGCCCGGAAAACAGGUUGGAGAUCACUCACGCCGGGCUGGUGGGAUGUAAGAUGGCACAGCCGCCCGGAAAACAGGUUGGAGAUCACUCACACGGGGCUGGUGGGAUGUAUGAUGGCACAGCCGCCCAGAAAACAGGUUGGAGGUCACUCACGCCGGGCUGGUGGGAUGUAAGAUGGCACAGCCGCCCGGAAAACAGGUUGGAGAUCACUCAAACAGGUUGGAGAUCACUCACGCCGGACUGGUGGGAUGUUAAGAUGGCACAGCCGCCCGGAAAACAGGUUGGAGAUCACUCAAACAGGUUGGAGAUCACUCACACCGGGCUGGUGGGAUGUAAGAUGGCACAGCCACCCGGAAAACAGGUUGGAGAUCACUCACGCCGGGCUGGUGGGAUGUAAGAUGGCACAGCCGCCCGGAAAACAGGUUGGAGAUCACGCACGCGGGACUGGUGCGAUGUAAGAUGGCACAGCCGCCCGGGAAACAGGUUGGAGAUCACUCACGCCGGGCUGGUGGGAUGUAAGAUGGUACAGCCGCCCGGAAAACAGGUUGGAGAUCACUCACGCCGGGCUGGUGGGAUGUAAGAUGGUACAGCCGCCCGGAAAACAGGUUGGAGAUCACUCACGCCGGGCUGGUGGGAUGUAAGAUGGUACAGCCGCCCGGAAAACAGGUUGAAGAUCACUCACGCCGGGCUGGUGGGAUGUAUGAUGGCACAGCCGCCCGGAAAACAGGUUGGAGGUCACUCACGCCGGGCUGGUGGGAUGUAAGAUGGUACAGCCGCCCAGAAAACAGAUUGGCGAUCACUCAAACAGGUUGGAGAUCACUCACGCCAUACUGGUGGGAUGUUAAGAUGGUACAGCCGCCCGGAAAACAGGUUGGAGAUCACUCACACGGGGCUGGUGCGAUGUAAGAUGGCACAGCCGCCCGGGAAACAGGUUGGAGAUAACUCAUGCGGGGCUGGUGGGAUGUAAGAUGGUACAGCCGCCUGGAAAACAGGUUGGCAACUUCUUAACAAACUAAACAUGCAAUCACCAUCAGACCCGGCAACUUCAGGUCAGGGUGUUCAUUCCGGAGAAAACGAAGACCGACAUUCACAAGAAAACUUGUACACAACCGUUUGUAGUAGCUUUAUUAAUAAUGGUCAAAAACUGGAAGCUACCGAGUUGACCUUGAACACGGGUACGGUUAAGCAGAUGGUAGUAGCCCACACUAUGGCAUAUACUCUGCAGUGAAAAGGAACAAGCUAUGGGCACACACACCACGGCCUGAAGAAACCUUCAGAGAGUGGCCCUGGUGAAGGGAGUCCAGACCAAAAGGUUGUACACCAUAAGAUUCCAUUUAAACAACAUUCUUGAAAUGAUCCAAGUACAGUAAUGGAGACCCUAUGGGGGCCGAGAAGGAGGCAGGGAUGGGAGGGAAGUUCGGUGGCUUGAGAGGGAGCAGAAGGUCCUGUGGGGGUGGACACCUGUGCCUGGGCCACGAGUCAGCAUCCUGAUAUUGUCCCCUAAUUGUGCAAGAUGCGACCACUGAGGCCAGGCGCGGUGGCUCACGCCUGUAAUCCCAGCACUUUGGGAAGCCGGGGUAGCUAGAUCACCUGAG